rnacentral:rRNA from 1 species
AUGGCUCAGGAUGAACGCUAGCGACAGGCUAACACAUGCAAGUCGAGGGGCGAUCACGGGAGUAGCAAUACAACUGGUGGCGACCGGCGCACGGGUGAGUAACGCGUAUGCAACCUACCUAUCAGAGGGGAAUAACCCGGCGAAAGUCGGACUAAUACCGCAUAAAACAGGGGCACCGCAUGGUGAUAUUUGUUAAAGAAAUUCGCUGAUAGAUGGGCAUGCGUUCCAUUAGGUAGUUGGUGAGGUAACGGCUCACCAAGCCGACGAUGGAUAGGGGAACUGAGAGGUUGGUCCCCCACACUGGUACUGAGACACGGACCAGACUCCUACGGGAGGCAGCAGUGAGGAAUAUUGGUCAAUGGGCGGGAGCCUGAACCAGCCAAGUCGCGUGAAGGAAGAAGGAUCUAUGGUUCGUAAACUUCUUUUGCAGGGGAAUAAAGUGCAGGACGUGUCCUGUUUUGUAUGUACCCUGAGAAUAAGGAUCGGCUAACUCCGUGCCAGCCGCCGC